GACGAACGCUGGCGGCGUGCUUAACACAUGCAAGUCGAACGGAAAGGCCCUGCUUUUGUGGGGUGCUCGAGUGGCGAACGGGUGAGUAACACGUGAGUCACCUGCCCUUGACUUUGGGAUAACUUCAGGAAACUGGGGCUAAUACCGGAUAGGAGCUCCUGCUGCAUGGUGGGGGUUGGAAAGUUUCGGCGGUUGGGGAUGGACUCGCGGCUUAUCAGCUUGUUGGUGGGGUAGUGGCUUACCAAGGCUUUGACGGGUAGCCGGCCUGAGAGGGUGACCGGCCACAUUGGGACUGAGAGACGGCCCAGACUCCUACGGGAGGCAGCAGUGAGGAAUAUUGCACAAUGGGCGGAAGCCUGAUGCAGCAACGCCGCGUGCGGGAUGACGGCCUUCGGGUUGUAAACCGCUUUCGCCUGUGACGAAGCGUGAGUGACGGUAAUGGGUAAAGAAGCACCGGCUAACUACGUG
rnacentral:rRNA from 1 species